UUAAGAUACUAAGGGCAUACGGCGGAUGCCUUGGCGAUAUCUGCCGAAGAAGGACGCGACAAGCUGCGAAAAGCUGCGGAGAGGCGCAAAUAGCCAUUGAACCGCAGAUAUCCGAAUGGAGAAAUCCGGCAGGGCUCAUCCCCUGUCAUCCAUGCCAUAGAGCAUGAGAAGGUAAGCCGGUGAACUGAAACAUCUAAGUAGCCGGAGGAGAAGAAAUCAAACGAGAUACCCCAAGUAGCGGCGAGCGAACGGGGCAGAAGCCCAAACCGGAGAAGGAAACUUCGCCGGGGUUGAGGACCGUCAGAGCUUAAGAAGAAGUUAGCCGAAACGCCUGGGAAGGCGUGCCGAAGACAGUGAGAGCCUGGUAGGCGAAAACGGAGGCUUAGGAGACGGAAUCCAGAGUACCGCGGGACACGAGAAACCCCGUGGGAAGCAGGGGGGACCACCCUCCAAGGCAAAACACAGAUAUCGACCGAUAGCGCAUAGUACCAUGAGGGAAAGGUGAAAAGCACCCCGGGAGGGGAAUGAAAGAGAACCUGAAACCGUAUGUUUACAAGCAGUCGGAGACCGUAUAUAUACCAGGUCGACGGCGUGCCUAUUGAAGAAUGAACCAGCGAGUUACGAGGACCGGCAAGGUUAAGCAGGAAAUGCGGAGCCGAAGCGAAAGCGAGUCUUAAUAGGGCGAGAGUCGGAAUGCGUAGACCCGAAACCACAGUGAUCUACCCAUGUCCAGGCUGAAACACAGGUAAAAAUGUGCGGAGGGCCGAACCUAUAUCUGUUGAAAAAGGUUAGGAUGAGGUGUGGGUAGGGGUGAAAUUCCAAUCGAACGUGGAGAUAGCUGGUUCUCCCCGAAAUAGCUUUAGGGCUAGCCUCAGGUGGUGAUUACAGGCGGUAGAGCACUGAUCAGGAGAGGGACCUACCCGGUUACCAAACCCAGUCAAACUCCGAAUGGCUGUAAUCAAACCUGGGAGUCAGACUACGACUUAUAAGGGCCGUGGUCAAGAGGGAAACAGCCCAGAUCAUCAGCUAAGGUCCCAAAUGCCGUGCUAAGUGGCGAAGGAUGUGGCGUUUCAUAAACAACCAGGAUGUUGGCUCAGAAGCAGCCACCAUUCAAAGAGUGCGUAAUAGCUCACUGGUCGAGAGACGCUGCGCCGAAGAUGUCCGGGGCUCAAGCACGGAACCGAAGCUAUGGCAGAUUGCUUGCAAUCUGGGUAGGGGAGCGUUCUUAUCACGGAGAAGCGGUACCGUAAGGAGCCGUGGAGAGGUAAGAAGUGAGAAUGCUGGUAUGAGUAUCGAAAAGGCUGGUGAGAAUCCAGCCCACCGAAAGCCCGAGGGUUCCUGAGCAACGAUCGUCGUCUCAGGGUAAGUCGGGACCUAAGCCGAGGCAAAGACGCAUAGGCGAUGGAGAACAGGUUGAAAUUCCUGUACCGGAGCAGUCCGUCUGAGCGAUGGAGUGACGCAGCAGGGCACACGAGCAUGCGGCUGGAAGAGCAUGUCCAAGCCCGUAGCCCGUAUGGCAGGGAAAUCCGCCAUGCAGAAGGGUGAGAGGUGACGGGGAGUUAAAGGAAACUUUGACGAACUCGUGAAUCCCACACUGCCAAGAAAAGCUUCUAGCGAGGACUGAUCCGCCCGUACCGUAAACCGACACAGGUAGGCGGGGAGAGAAUCCUAAGGUGCGCGGGAAAACCCUCGUUAAGGAACUCGGCAAAUUGCAUCCGUAACUUCGGAAGAAGGAUGGCCCUGAGUAGGCGAAAAGUCUUGCACUUGGAACCGGAAAGGGUGGCAGAAAAGAGGCCCAAGCAACUGUUUACCAAAAACACAGGUGCCUGCGAAAGCGAAAGCUGACGUAUAGGUGCUGACGCCUGCCCGGUGCUGGAAGGUUAAGGAGAGAGGUUAGCGCAAGCGAAGCUUUGAACUGAAGCCCCAGUGAACGGCGGCCGUAACUAUAACGGUCCUAAGGUAGCGAAAUUCCUUGUCGGGU
rnacentral:rRNA from 1 species